UGGGGAAUAUUGGACAAUGGGCGCAAGCCUGAUCCAGCCAUGCCGCGUGAGUGAUGAAGGCCCUAGGGUUGUAAAGCNCUUUCACCGGUGAAGAUAAUGACGGUAACCGGAGAAGAAGCCCCGGCUAACUUCGUGCCAGCAGCCGCGGUAAUACGAAGGGGGCGUAGCGUUGUUCUGGAUUUACUGGGCGUAAAGCGCACGUAGGCGACUUUUAAGUCAGGGGUGAAAUCCCGGGCUCAACCCGGAACUGCCUUUGAUACUGGAAGUCUUGAGUAUGGUAGAGGUGAGUGGAAUUCCAGUGUAGAGGUGAAAUUCGUAGAUAUUCGGAGGAACACCAGUGGCGAAGGCGGCUCACUGGACCAUUACUNACGCUGAGGUGCGAAAGCGU
rnacentral:rRNA from 1 species